CCUGCAACAUCUUCCAAACACGGGGCUGGAGAUUCCAGUCAAAAGUUCAAAGAAGAUCACACAGUGCCUGGGCCAUCUUCUGCUAGACAACAUGGACAGGUAAUUUCCCCACAAAUUCAAGGUUCCUCACACCCUUCCCGAUCUAGCCAAGGAUAUCUGGGAUCUUCCACUUCUCCCCAAGAUGCUCAGGGACUGUCCCUAUCAACCCAACAUGCUCAGGGACUGUCCCUAUCAACCCAAGAUGUUCUAGAACUAACCAGAUAUUUCCAAGAGUCUAUGGGACAUUCCACAUCUGCCCACGCAUCCGAAAGACUUCCCACUUGUGCUGAAAGGAAAAUCAUACAUGCCUCCUCUUCCAGAAGGAGUUCCAAAAGGUUACCCCCUACCCUACAUAACUCUAAUCUUUACAAUUCUCCUACAAAGCAUGUUGGACAAGACUCCUCUGGUCAAGGGGACCUACAACAGGCC
rnacentral:lncRNA from 1 species